CUGGUUGAUCUUGCUAAUAGUCAUAUGCUUGUCUCAAAGAUUAAGCCAUGCAUGUGUAAGUAUGAACAUAUUCAGACUGUGAAACUAUGAAUGGCUUAUUAAAUCAGUUAUAGUUUGUUUGAUGGUAUCUAUUACUCGGAUAACCAUAGUAAUUCAAGAGUUUAUGCAUGCAAAAAACCUUGACUUCUUGAAGGGAUGCAUUUAUUAGAUAAAACGUCGACGUGGGCUCUGCCCGUUGCUACGAUGAUUCAUGAUAACUUGAUGGUUCUCAUGGCCAUUGUGCCGGCGAUGCAUCAUUCAAUUUUUUAUCCGAUCAACUUUCAAUGGUAGGAUAGUGGCCUACCAUGGUGGUGAUGGGUGAUGGAGAGUAAGGGUUUGAUUCUGGAGUGGGAUCUUGAGAAAUGGUUACCACAUCCAACGAAGGUAGUAGGCGCACAAAUUACCAAAUCCUGAUAUGGUAGUCAUGGAAGUCAAAAUUCGCCAAGGAGUAUAUAAC
rnacentral:ncRNA from 1 species